rnacentral:lncRNA from 1 species
GAAAACCUAGUCUGAUGAACUUUCUCCUAGGAUCACAAUCUUAGUCUGAUGAAUUUUUCUCCUAAGAUAGAGGACCUAGUCUGAUGAAUAUUCUCCUAGGAUCAAAAUCUUAGUCGGAUGAAUCUUUCUCCUAAGAUAAUAAAUUAGAAGACCUAGUCUGAUGACUUUUCUCCUAGGAUCAAAAUCUUAGUCUGAUCAAUUUUUCUCCUAAGAUAGAAGACCUAGUCUGAUGAACUUUCUCCUAGGAUAGAUGUCUUAGUCUGAUAAAUUUUUCUCCUAAGAUACAAAACCUAGUAUGAUGAAUUUUCUCCUAGGAUAAAUGUCUUAGUAUGAUGAAUCUUUCAAGAUAACAAAAAGAGGACCUAGUCUGAUGAACUUUCUCCUAGGAUCAAAAUCUUAGUCUGAUGAAUUUUUCUCCUAAGAUAGAAGACCUAGUCUGAUGAACUUUCUCCUAGGAUAGAAAUCUUAGUCGGAUGAAUCUUUCUCCUAAGAUACCAAAAAAAA